rnacentral:misc_RNA from 1 species
AGUCGUAACAAGGUAUCCGUAGGUGAACCUGCGGAUGGAUCAUUACUAAAGGUUUUUUACCCGACGUAUUGUGAACUGUAUUGAACCACAGUCAGCGGCUAGCUGCAAGGUGAAGGUGAAGGAUCUAGGUCCUGAACCAGUCGCUGGCUGUACAACCAAACGUAGCCAUUUCCUUAAACUGAAGUCUUGUUAGUUACAAACUAAGAUAACUUUUAGCAACGGAUCUCUUGGCUCUC